rnacentral:rRNA from 1 species
AUUGAACACUGGCGGCAGGCUUAACACAUGCAAGUCGAGCGGUAGCACAGGGGAGCUUGCUCCCUGGGUGACGAGCGGCGGACGGGUGAGUAAUGUCUGGGAAACUGCCUGAUGGAGGGGGAUAACUACUGGAAACGGUAGCUAAUACCGCAUAACGUCGCAAGACCAAAGAGGGGGACCUUCGGGCCUCUUGCCAUCAGAUGUGCCCAGAUGGGAUUAGCUAGUAGGUGGGGUAGUGGCUCACCUAGGCGACGAUCCCUAGCUGGUCUGAGAGGAUGACCAGCCACACUGGAACUGAGACACGGUCCAGACUCCUACGGGAGGCAGCAGUGGGGAAUAUUGCACAAUGGGCGCAAGCCUGAUGCAGCCAUGCCGCGUGUGUGAAGAAGGCCUUCGGGUUGUAAAGCACUUUCAGCGAGGAGGAAGGUGGUGAGCUUAAUACGUUCAUCAAUUGACGUUACUCGCAGAAGAAGCACCGGCUAACUCCGUG